ensembl:lncRNA
CUGGUUUAAUUUCUGCUAGAUUCAAUAUUAACUGUUUAAUUAACACAGCUGAAGAGCAUUAUUGAAUUGGAAAUGAAGAUCUACUCAAGGUAACCUCGUUGGUCCGUCGCAGAUGAAUGCAGGCCGGGCAUAAAUGAACUAAAUUAAGAAUCAGGAAGGCACAGCUGUUGUCUUGGAAGACGUUUUCUCAGGAGACCCGAGGCACCUUUGAGGAGCAAAGGAGCAGAAAGAAGAAGUUUUCUUGUCCGGAAAGAUGAUAUAAAAACCAUUACGCCUAUGGAGUCCCCGUAAACCACCAAUGCAGGAUGAAUCCCAGACUUGCAAGGCGUAUAGCAGAGGGUAUUGCAAGCUGCUGUAAAAUGUUUUGGUCGUGUUUUUGUUCAGGGUGCCACUCACUCAUUCAGUAUACAGCAAAAAAGCCCCAGACCAUCACGCUUCCACCUCCACGUUUGACUCGUUCCUCCUCCGUCCUUUCACCUACUCAACAAAACCUGUGUGACAAACACAAGAUUUCACAUUUUGACUCAUCGGUCGAGACCUUCCACCUCCAGGAGUCCAUUGACAAUGCCCAGCUGGGAGCUGCAGAUCUCGCUCAGGCCCGGUCUGACUUACCAGAGAGCUGAACAAUGACCUGUGUGAGGAAAGUAAUCUAAUUCAGCGCUCAGAAGUUAUUUGAAUAUAGAAUGUUAAUGUAGACACUACUCUCAAAAGUUUGGGGUCGAUAAGAUUUUUUGUAAUGUUUUUGAAAGAAUUCUCUUAUGCAUUUAUUUGAUCGAAAAUACAUUUUUAAUAGGUAAUGUUGUGAAAUAUUAUACAAUUCAAAAUGAAUGUUUUCAAUAAAAACAUUUUUAAAAAAUGUCAA